rnacentral:rRNA from 1 species
GACGAACGCUGGCGGCGUGCUUAACACAUGCCAGUCGAACGGAAAGGCCCUGCUUUUGUGGGGUGCUCGAGUGGCGAACGGGUGAGUAACACGUGAGUAACCUGCCCUUGACUUUGGGAUAACUUCAGGAAACUGGGGCUAAUACCGGAUAGGAGCUCCUGCUGCAUGGUGGGGGUUGGAAAGUUUCGGCGGUUGGGGAUGGACUCGCGGCUUAUCAGCUUAUUGGUGGGGUAGUGGCUUACCAAGGCUUUGACGGGUAGCCGGCCUGAGAGGGUGACCGGCCACAUUGGGACUGAGAUACGGCCCAGACUCCUACGGGAGGCAGCAGUGGGGAAUAUUGCACAAUGGGCGGAAGCCUGAUGCAGCAACGCCGCGUGCGGGAUGACGGCCUUCGGGUUGUAAACCGCUUUCGCCUGUGACGAAGCGUGAGUGACGGUAAUGGGUAAAGAAGCACCGGCUAACUACGUG